GAAUUCGCAGGCAUUCCAACCGCCAACCGCAGCGGACGGGCCGCGGGCGGUCCCUUGGCGACAGGCAUAAACGUGCGUCAGUGUUGAGAGAUUACACUUAUCACUGUGAAAAUCGUUUACCAUUUUAUCAGGAGUUUAUCUUCACCACUUCGAAGAUAUUUACAACAUUCAACUCUGAACUGUGAUAUUAUAUUACAGACUUUCUUUAGUCAAAAAUGAAACGAAAGAUUAAUCAAGCCUCUGCGUCAAGGAAGAAAGCAAAGGCAGGCAGUGAACAAGAUCAAGUACUGAAAGCAGAUUUCUUUGCAGGGUUAAAAUGCUUUAUUCACCCUGCAAACUUUGGUGUAGGUAGACUCAAUAUAUUUCAGAAACUGGUGAAGAACAAUGGUGGAGAUGUUUACGAUACAUUGCCGUGGGCUUGUGAAAGGGUUACUCAUGUGAUCUUUGAGGAGUCUUUGGAUGCUGACAAGAUCCAAAAGUUGAUUGAUCCAUCACAGUAUCAAAAUGCCAUUUUUGUAAGAUGUUCUUGGUUAAGUGCUUGCUCAAAAUCCAAAACUAAGAUUGAGACCAAAGAUUUUGAUAUCAAACUGUCAUCAGAAUGUUCAAAGGAUAAGAAGAAUAUAUCGUUUUCAUCUGAACCACCAAAAGUAAACAGUCAGAGUACAAAUGUGCUACAAAAUGCAGCUUGUUGGGAUUCCAUAUCAGGAAAGAAAAGAAGCAAAGACCCCAUUGUUACAACCACCAUACAGUCCGGAGAACAGGAUGAGAAUUUGCUUUCUAGUGAGAGAGAAGGGCCGUUACCAGAGAGCUCCACAAGAUGUGAAACCAAAGAUAUUAGCCCCUCAGUUAAAGAUCAUCUUCAGAAAGAUACAGAUACAAGGAAUGCAAGUAGAGAAGAUGGUAAUACCUCAGAAGAAAAUAUUACAAGGAAAGGGAGCUUCAAAAAAAGAAAGUUCUUUCCCAAAGAACUAAAGGAGAAAUUUGCCUGCGCAAGACCCUCAAGCAGUCAGGUCAAAGAUUUCAAUUGCCACAUUACUGUAGAGCUUGAGAAGUUAGCUGCAGCUUACAAAAGCAAAAAAGACACAUGGAGAGCCCUUGGAUAUCAGAAAGCUAUUUCUGCCAUUCGUAACUACCCAAGGCCUAUUACAUCCAGAGAGGAGGCCCUCAGUAUCCGUGGCGUGGGAGGACGCUUAGCAGACAAAGUUGCAGAGAUUGUAGAAAGUGGGAAACUAAGGAAAGUAGCUGAAGUGUGUGAGGAUGAAGAAGCUAAAACACUGCAGCUCUUCAUGGGUGUCUGGGGAGCUGGACCAACCACAGCACAUGGCUGGUACAUUCAGGGAUACAGAACACUGGAAGAUCUACAAGAAAAAGGGAAUUUGACUAGACACCAGCAAAUUGGUCUGAAGUACUAUGAUGAUAUAAAUAGCCGCAUCCCUCGUGAAGAAGUUGCAGAAAUUGAGAAAUACGUCCGGUCUGCUGCACUUAGUAUUAUAAAAGGGCUGAUUGUGAUGGUGUGUGGCUCAUACAGACGUGGCAGAGCAACUUGUGGAGAUGUUGAUGUGCUGGUGACUCACCCUGAUGGCCAGUCUCAUGAAACUAUAUUCCAACCACUCUUGAAUAAGUUGAGGGAAACAGGUUUUUUAACUGAUGACCUUGUUACUCAAGACGAUAAUGGUAACCAGAAGAAAUAUCUUGGUGUAUGCAAAUUACCAGGAGAAGAUAGAAAGACGAUUGGAUGUGAUUGUGGUCCCAUACAGUGAAUUUGCUCCAGCUUCAAUGUAUUUUACUGGCUCUGCUCAUUUUAAUAGAUCUAUGAGGCUGCUGGCUAUCAAAAUGGGAAUGAGUCUGUCAGAGCAUGGACUUCGGACUGGGAUCAUAAGACAGAAAGGAGAGAAACUGACAAAAGGGCAGUUGCUUCACACACCCACAGAGGAGUCUAUCU
rnacentral:misc_RNA from 1 species